rnacentral:rRNA from 1 species
UGCGCAGAUAUCAGGAGGAACACCGAUGGCGAAGGCAGGUCUCUGGGCUGUAACUGACGCUGAGGAGCGAAAGCAUGGGGAGCGAACAGGAUUAGAUACCCUGGUAGUCCAUGCCGUAAACGUUGGGCACUAGGUGUGGGGACCAUUCCACGGUUUCCGCGCCGCAGCUAACGCAUUAAGUGCCCCGCCUGGGGAGUACGGCCGCAAGGCUAAAACUCAAAGGAAUUGACGGGGGCCCGCACAAGCGGCGGAGCAUGCGGAUUAAUUCGAUGCAACGCGAAGAACCUUACCAAGGCUUGACA